rnacentral:rRNA from 1 species
UACAGAGGUCCCAAGCGUUGUUCGGAUUCAUUGGGCGUAAAGGGUGCGUAGGCGGCGCGGUAAGUCGGGUGUGAAAUCUCGGAGCUUAACUCCGAAACUGCAUUCGAUACUGCCGUGCUUGAGGACUGGAGAGGAGACUGGAAUUUACGGUGUAGCGGUGAAAUGCGUAGAUAUCGUAAGGAAGACCAGUGGCGAGGGCGGGUCUCUGGACAGUUCCUGACGCUGAGGCACGAAGGCCAGGGAGCAAACGGG